GGAAUAUUGCACAAUGGGGGAAACCCUGAUGCAGCGACGCCGCGUGAGCGAAGAAGUAUUUCGGUAUGUAAAGCUCUAUCAGCAGGAAAGAAAAUGACGGUACCUGACUAAGAAGCUCCGGCUAAAUACGUGCCAGCAGCCGCGGUAAUACGUAUGGAGCAAGCGUUAUCCGGAUUUACUGGGUGUAAAGGGAGCGCAGGCGGUCUGGCAAGUCUGAAGUGAAAGCCCGUGGCUCAACCGCGGAACUGCUUUGGAAACUGUAUAGCUUGAGUACUGGAGAGGCAGGCGGAAUUCCUAGUGUAGCGGUGAAAUGCGUAGAUAUUAGGAGGAACACCAGUGGCGAAGGCGGCCUGCUGGACAGAAACUGACGUUGAGGCUCGAAAGCGUGGGGAGCAAACAG
rnacentral:rRNA from 1 species